UUUUCAUGGCUUACACAACGCGGACGCCGCCUCGCAAACCGAUCGCUAACUGAACGGCACUCCGCCCCGCGCCGCGCUCCCUCCGCUCGGGACAGCCCUGGGCCGGAACGGCACCGCGGGGUCCCGGCCCGGCCCGGCCCUUCCCUCCCGCUCGCCCCAGCCGCCCCCGUCCCGCGGCACCGACCUGCUCCUCCGGGCUCCGCCGGUGCCGGACGGGCGCCGCCCCCGCCUCCCGCUCGCGGUCCCCAGGCGGCGGCAGCAGCUCGGCCGCCGAGCCCAUGGCUCCUCGGGCGGCGGGGGCGGCCGCUGGCGGGAGCCCCGCCGGGGUGGCGGCGGCGAAGGAGGAGGAGGCGGGAGCGCCGUUUCCUCCCGCAGCGCCGAGCGAAGCCGCACGCUCCCGGCUGGCGGCGGCUCCUCCUCGCGGCGGGGCGGGGCUCGGCGCGGGGCCCCGCGGCGGCCGCCCGGGCAGGGCCAAGUCGCGGCCCCGCGGGGGUGAGGGGGCGCUGGGUUGCGGUCACGCCUUGGGCCGGCGCUCCCCGCCAGGAGCCGCGCUUCGCUGCCGCAAGCACGAAACCCGAGCGCGGACCUUGCGCUGAGAGCCGCGAGCACGCCUUGGGAGUGCCGGGCGCUACCGGAACGUUGGUUCCAGCCCGCUCCUGGAGCCCGGAGCGGUUGCGGCGUGCCGUGUCCCUGCCCCUGCAGCGCCUGGGCACCUGUGGGUGGGUGCUCCUGGUGACGGCCCAGCGCCGUGGCUGCAGGGCUGGGCUCUGUUCCCACGGGCCGUUACCUGAGGCGCUGCGUGACAGCUGGGUUCUAUGGAAAUGGACCGUUUCAGUAGCUGCAGCAAACCGAAAACCACUGCAGAGAAGCACCCCACCAGUCGCGGAGCCGUCACACCUUCAGGCUAACAGUGAGCAUGUCUCCUCAAAGCGUGGGCCCAAAUGUAGACCAACCGACUGCCAGGCCCUGGACUGGACAGGCCAGCCAGCAGGCACGGAGUGGUGCCGGUGCCAUUACUCCUGCCCUUUGCGCUCCUCCUGCAGACAGGGCCACCACAGAUCACCGAGUGACGUUUCCCAGCCUCCAAGCCCCCUGACUCCCAGCCGAUGGUGCCUUCUCCCACUAUCCAUCUCAGAAAAUGCCAGUAUAAAUAAAUUCCAGUGUGAUUUUACUGAUGAGCAAAAAGCCAUGUAG
rnacentral:lncRNA from 1 species